GGCUUUUUUCGCCGCAGCGGAGCUCGACCGCAAGAUCAAGUAGCUGUUCCGACUGCGGUGCUGGUCGACUACAUCGAUCAGCACCGCGACAGGCUCGGGGUCGAGCCGAUCUGCACCGUGUUGAAGGACGCUGGUGUCCAGAUCGCCCCG
rfam:Nocardioides sp. CF8 chromosome, whole genome shotgun sequence.